rnacentral:rRNA from 1 species
AACGAACGCUGGCGGCAUGCCUAACACAUGCAAGUCGAACGAGACCUUCGGGUCUAGUGGCGCACGGGUGCGUAACGCGUGGGAACCUGCCCUUAGGUUCGGAAUAACUCCCCGAAAGGGGUGCUAAUACCGGAUAAUGUCUUCGGACCAAAGAUUUAUCGCCUUUGGAUGGGCCCGCGUUGGAUUAGCUAGUUGGUAGGGUAAAAGCCUACCAAGGCGACGAUCGAUAGCUGGUCUGAGAGGAUGAUCAGCCACACUGGGACUGAGACACGGCCCAGAAUCCUACGGGAGGCAGCAGUGGGGAAUAUUGGACCAUGGGCGAAAGCCUGAUCCAGCAAUGCCGCGUGAGUGAUGAAGGCCUUAGGGUUGUAAAGCUCUUUUACCCGGGAUGAUAAUGACAGUACCGGGAGAAUAAGCUCCGGCUAACUCCGUG